ACUUUGCCCAAAUAAAAAAGAUAUAUUAUUUAUAAUUUUGUGGUUAAUUUUUUAACCAAUUAGAAAGCAACUGUCCAUACUUAAAUGAUAUUCACUGUCUUUAUUUCUCUUUUAUUUUCACUUAUAACUAUUGUUAUUUAUUUCUUUUCUUUUCUUUUCCACCACUAAAUCAUUUAACCUAUGGACAAAUAUAUUUAAAACGAUUUCACACACACAAAUUGUCCCCCACUGUGUUUGGAAGUUGUGCGGAAACUCUGUUUGGAAACGCCAUAUUCAGCUUGCAAACAUGGCUUCAAUGUAAUUUGUGCAAGUGGAAGGAAAGAGAUUUUGAAGCAAUCUUCUCCGAUAGGCUCUUCCCCCGGUGAUUUACUCAAAUGAAGUAUUCAAGUGCUCACUAAGUCGAUUUCUUCCUUCUUCAGGUAACCAUUGUGUAAAAUCACUGAGUUCAAAACCUCAUAGGUAUAUAACUAACAUAUAAACUCUACAAAGUGUUCGUGAUUUUUUUUGUACGCCCGUAUCAAUUUCAGUCAUGGUGGAGGAUAUUCAAUUUCAUGCUUUUGGAAAGAAUUUGCUUCCUGAAACUGAAAUACAGUAGCUGAGGCAGUAUGCUUUCAGCAGUUGAUAUUGUGCUUUGUUUUGUAAUCUACCAUGGAUGCUUUAAACACUAUUGACUGUAAUUCUUAUGUUCAGAAUCAUUAGUUAUAUCUUAUUU